AACGUAGGUUCGAGCGUUAUCCGGAUUUAUCUGGGUACGGUAAGCGCGUUCAGGCGGUUUGGCAAGUCGGGCAAUGAAAGUCUCCUCGGCCUCAAUCCGGGAAGAGGUUGGUCCGAUACUGCUGGACUUGAAGGGCAGUAGAGGGGUGGUGGAAUUCCUGGUGUAGCGGUGAAAAUGCGCAGAUAUCAGGAGGAACACCGGUGGCGAAGGCGGUUCUCUGGGCCAUUACCUGACGCUGAGGAGCGAAAGCGUGGGGAGCAAACAGG
rnacentral:rRNA from 1 species